rnacentral:lncRNA from 1 species
GUUGGUCUGCCUAGUGCUUGAUCAGCUGUGAGUGAGAUCCUGAGAAAGGCUCCCGGUGACUGAGCUCAAGGAUGGAGCCCCUGGUAAGUAGUGAUGCUUCCUCCUGAAGCUGCACCCAGUCCCCAUCCUUCCUCAGCUCAGCUGCCCACUCUGGACAGCGAUAGGGCUGCUCUGUCUAAACCAGAACAUCCAUAGUUUUUUAGGACUUGGUGACAUUAAAGAUGUAGCAGUCAACUUCACCCAGAAGAGUGGAGCCUGCUAGACAAGUCCCAGAAAAACCUGUUCAGAAAUGUGAUGCUGGAAACUGUCACCCACCUGGUCUCUGUAGGCUAUCAAAUUAGCAAAUCAGAUGUGAUUUCAUAGCUGGAACAAGGAACAGAGCUGUGGACUGAAGCAGCAGGAGGCCUCCAAGGUCAGAGUCCAGGCAGUGAACAAUCCCUUAAACAACAAGAAAUGAUAUUCAUGCAAAGUAUCUACAGAAAGCACAUAUCCUCUACUAUGUCAGUAGUUUCUCACCAGCAAGGGGAUCCUGCUGGAUGCACUAAUUCGAGAGAUGAAUUAGCUUCUAGAUCUUCACCUCAACAGUCAUCAAUUCACUUAAGAACGAAACAUGUCAGCAAACAGUGUGGAAAAUCAUGUAGUCAAGGAUCAUUUCUUAAUGCACAGGGUCCUAUUCACACUAGAGGAAAAUCAUGUGAAUGUCUUCUAUGUAAAAAAGUCUUUAAUAAUUACUUUAGCCUCAGAUGACACAGGAUGAUUCACACAGGAGAGAAACCAAACAAAUGCAGUCUGUGUGGAAAUGGCUAUUUUCUGAGAAACCACAAUCAGGUCCACACUGGAGAGAAACGAUUUGAAUGUCAUGUGUGUGGGAAACUCUUCAAAGUUCCUACCUGGAACAUGAGAAAACACACAGGAGAGAAGCCCUAUAAAUGUCACCUGUGUGAGAAAAGUUUUCAUCAAAUCUCUUACCUUAGAAAACACGAGAAA